GUUCCUGUUGAUAAAUUUAGAAGAUGUUUAACGUUUCGAACAUUUAAUUUGGAAAGCACAAUGACGGGGAUCUAAAAUUGCGACGCUUCAUAAUUAACCCGACGUUAACUUGACGUCAGCCUGACUUGUGUGCCGAUAGACGGCCUUUUCGUUCGGCCUCCGCUACAUUUAUUAAAGGCCUAUAGACAUAUUGUGAGGUUUCACCACAUGUAUAGAGGCACCCUGAGAAAGGAAAUUAAAUACGUUUUGAAGGAAAUUGCUUUAGCAGAUACAUGAGAACUGAACUUGGGCGUUAUUGCUCUUCCAGUCUUCCUGCGUCCUGCACUGAGGACUCCACAUCUGAAACUUGUGGGGCAUUCUCUCUUCAGCAGUGCCCUGUGGCACGAACACCUCUGUGAAUUCAGCUCUUGUGCAUUCCAUCGCCCUGCAACCUGGCGCCCGAAUCCCCUGCUAUCCCAGGUUUAUCUCUGGAUACUGGAUGGAAGGAGAACCCAGCCUUUUUGUUGACAUUUCCAAGUGCUGCGGCCGGCCUUGUGAGGAAGUCCUCGCGCGGAUAGUAGGAGUGCCUGAGAGCAAAAUAAAAUGAUAGCUGUGAAGGAACACAAAUCAAAGGAUCUACACCCGGGGCCAUUUCUAGAUUUCUUUAUCCAACUGAUACAAGGAACACUCUAACAGCAGAAGGUGCCGGAACCCCAGGCAGGACGUCUCAGCCGUCAAAGCCAGCUAAGUCAUCGCUUUGUGAAGGACAGACCCAACAUGAUAAGUGGAACCGCAAAUGUAGACCUCAGAAGCAAAUUGUAUAACAUUUUAUGUAAAAUGUUCUAGGAGGACAUACAUUCUUUUUAGAGAAAAGCAUUUCCUAGAGUUCCAUGUAUUGGUACAAUCCUUUCAACUCUAGUUUUCAAGGAUCUCCAAACGUGGCUAAAAAAGACUAUAAUGACGCAAAGGAACUGUUGCAUAGAACAUAAUUACAGCUAAUUGCUGAAGAUAAUUGGACCCCCUAGCCCAAAACGAGACCCACUCUGGGACCUUGGCAUGGCGCAGUCAUUGUUUCCUGAGCUCCGGGAGAGGGGCCUUGGCACAGUGAGGGUGUUAGUUUGGCACUCGACAGGCUCACAGCACCAUGAGCGACGUGUGAAGGUUGUGGUAUCUGUCAUGGCAGGCGCUACCCUUCUCGUCCCCCCCCCCCAUCACGCAGCGGGGAGGCUGUCAGGCCAGAUUCCCCGCUGAUUUGCUAAAGUGGAAAAAAAAAACAGUGACUACUUCUUGAAGGAAAUAUGGAAGGGAUUAUCUUGACAUACAAUACAGUACAAAUCACGCCGAGCAGAGGAAAGAGAGAGAAAGGAGCUGGAGACAAAGAGGACUGGAAUGGGUGGGAAUGAUGGCAGAAGUAUUAAGGUCUAUGGAAAGAACCAUCUGAAAGCAUUGGGGAUGUGUGGUUCAGGUUCAUCAGUAAAUGCCUGCUGUAGUUCCUUUGGUUCUUUGGGGUCCAUCUGUUACAUUUCUAACGAGGCCUUCUUACAUUUUGAUUUGUUCUUGGUUAUUUUGCGAUAGGUCUCCUGCUGAUCUAAACCACCACAUCCUAUCCAUUUUCUAGACAAAGCACCAGUUAAACACCUAGACUUGUUUUGGAGAAUUCUGGACAGGACUGCACUCCAGCCUUCACUGUGCUUAUGCCAAAGAUCAGGUCAACCAAGAGAAUUUCCCUUAAAAAGCUCCUCAGUGCCACAAUGACCACAUUCAUCCAGAGGAUCCCUAGUGUGGGAUGCACAGUGAUUAUAUGCAGCGAUUAUUUGCAGUGAUUAUACGCAGUGAUUAUUUGCGGUGAUUAUAGGCAGUGAUUAUUUGCAGUGAUUAUCGCCUUUUCUGGCAUUUUGUAGAUGGACCCCAGAGCAGCGCACUCUGCAUGCUUCCCAGGUCAUUCCCUCAGUUCUGAAUCUUCAGCAGUCAGCCGUGUCACUGUUACUGCAAAGAAUAGAUGCUACUUAAAUUUCUAUUAACUGUCCUUCCAAUGCAGAUCAAAUUUCCAGCAUGUCUAUUUCAGCUUCCUUUGCACCUAUUCACACCGACUGGGGGCUCUACAGCAUGUUUGUUUACUCAUAAAUGUGUUGGCCGGUAGUGGAGGAUCACAUGACAAGAAAGAUUUUACAGUGAGUGUAUGAGUAGGACGUGUUGCGAUGCAGGUGCUGGACCAAAUUACGAAACAGGAAUUGGAAAAAAUAACCAGAUGGCCACAGCUGUGUGAAAAUUUAUGAUAUUGAAAAUGCAAAAUAUGAGACGAUAUUUCAACACAUUUUAUACUGAAUAGGAGUUCUGCCGCUUAUGUGUGUGUUCUCACUUUAGAAGCAUAAAACAGAUUUAUAUGCAUUGUUUCCACAAAUCGGAAAAACUGAAAAGAACAGAAAACCUUAAAAAAAAUCAAAUAUAUAAAAAUACCUGCAUUAGUCUACAUUUGCAAUAUGAAAUUCAUUGAAUCGUUGUCAUUCUACGUAACAAAAAUAUCAACACAUUUGAUUUAUGUAUAAGGGCUAAUAAGGCUCUGAAUAUGUUUCUAUCUAUAUACUGUACAGGGCUUAGACAACAUAUAACAGAAAUCGCACAUGAAAAAGCACUUUAAGCUAAAUGGAAUGUGGCCACAAAGGUGAGUCAUAUUAUGAUGGACGCAAAUAAGCGGUAUUUCUCAGUUAUAAAACAAUCCUCACAAUCAGGGCUUUGAUGUUUUCAAAGUAAUAUAACAACUAAUAAAAGUACCAGAUAGUUGUUGCUCAAAUCGCCAGUGCAUUAGUCACACAAACUGAAAAACAAUCUAACGCGCGGAAGGGAAAAAAGGAUGGCAACAUACGGCAAACCCAAACAACUGCACCGGCAAAGUGCAGCAAUCAUCUCGCCAACAGGAUAGUUGCUAACAGCCACAAAGCGACGGUCUCAAACAAGACCACAGAACUGAAGUACUUCUGUGACCUAGUCAUAACAUUUUGUGAGUCAUAUUAUAUUCCGUUUUCUACAUCCUUACAGGUUUACAUUUCAAGAAAGUCAAGAGCCACCGUAUCUUCUGGCAUGAGCAGCAAUCUCACGAGAGCCAUUAGGUCAAAUGAUUUCCUCGCAUGGUUAUAUAACAGACAAAGAAUACGAGGCCAUUUUUCAGUACUAGGUGCACGCUAUCAUGCAUACAUCGAUCACUUUUGAUGUUCCUAUAUUCCAUGAUGAUAAUGUGCCUAACAAACACUGCUUAAUAAAUGUAGGAGUUGUUUCCUGAAGACCAGGAUGAAGUGGAAUGCCUUCAGUGGCCUCCACAAUCACAGGAUCUAAACAUCAUUGGACCUUACGGCUAAUUCUACAGUGCAGAAGUGAACCUCAAAGCAUUCCGAGAAGGACUGACGCUGUCGUCAAAGCAAGAGGUGGCCCUACUUAAUGUGGAUAUUGUUAGGUGUGUCUGUUAUUUUGUCCUUCUACUGUAUGUUUCUGUAUGUUUUCUGGGAAGCAUAAUAUCUACAUGUAUGGUUGUUGCAAGUUUAGCAAACACAGAGAGUAACCCUUUUUUAUAAAAUGUUUUAUUAUAUUCUUUUCUUAUAUUAUAUUCUGUGAUGUGUUACAGUCAGAAAUGGUUUGUGACAAAUACAUUGCUUGUUGUCUUACGUUGUUUUUUUUUGUCUUCUUGUAGAGCUAGUCAGAGUAAUACUUGUGGUCUUUGUGUGUAUAAACCGAGUCUGAAACCAUGGUGUUGUGGCCUCAACAAUGAAAGAUCCUGUUUACAUGUGUUGCGAGUGGCUCUGAUUGACGCUAUAAUUGCAGCCAGCGCAUCAUGGAUGGUCCCACAAGGAAGCGCAAUCAGGGUCAGGCACGAACUCUUCGUUACCCAUGGAAUACCAUCCUCGCCACAUUAGAGAAAGAUCCCCAGUCCUCUCUAGCAAGCUCCCUCUGAGGGAAACGGCAACACAAAGACACAUGUUCGGCAAACCACAGUGGAGAAAUCUCUAAAUUUGUGUUGCAUCAUGCUAUUACAUUAUUUUCACCACAACCCUGCACAAGAUAAGUGGUUAUGGAAGAUGGAUGGAUUGUUUUAUUACAUCAUGACUAUUUUGUAUUAUGUGUGGUGCAUUUGCAUGCAUAAAUCUAUCCAGGGUAGAUGGUAUAUGCAGAUGUUUUAGAAAAUUACAAUAGCAUUCCUUUGUUUUAAAACAUCUAUCAAUAAACAUGAAUUUAUAAUACAUUUCACAUGAAACAUGAAA